rnacentral:tRNA from 1 species
GGGAGCUUAGCUCAGUUGGUUCAGAGCAUCUGCCUUACAAGCAGAGGGUCACAGGUUCGAGCCCUGUAGCUCCCA